rnacentral:rRNA from 10 species
AACUCAGAACUGCUUACGGCGGGGAAUCCAACUGUGUAAUUAAAACAUAGGUUUGUGAUGCAUCCAAGUGGUGUUUAUCGCAAGCUGAUUUCUGCCCAGUGCUCUGAAUGUCAAUGUGACGAGAUUCACUGACGCGCGGGUAAACGGCGGGAGUAACUAUGACUCUCUUAAGGUAGCCAAAUGCCUCGUCUUCUUUAGAGACGCGCAU